UUUUUUUUUUUUUUUCCACUUGUGAUUCUAUUUUCCUCUACUUUAUUAUCUUUGGUACAGGGACAACAAAAAAUUUCCUAAAAAAAAUUACUGAUGUGACUUUGUAACCAGAGACCGGCUAAGAAUAGUGCACUGCAGACAAUCUCAUCACAUAUGUUUUAAAAAUAGGAGUUCCCAUCGCACAGCAGCAGAAACCAAUCCGACUAGGAACCAUGAGGUUGCAGGUUCGAUCGCUGGCCUCGCUCAGUGGGUUACGUAUCCCGUGUUGCCGUGAGCUGUGGUGUAGGUCACAGAUGCAGCUCAGAUCUGGUGUUGCUGUGGCUCUGGCAUAGGCCGGCAACAAUAGCUCUGAUUAGAUCCCUAGCCUGGGAACCUCCAUGUGCCUUGGGUGUGGCCCUAAAAAAACCAAAGACAAAAAUAUAAAAAUAAAAAUAAAUUUUAAAAAUAAAAAUUAACAUAAAACAAACACAACAAAUAUGUCACCCUCUAAAAUGCAUUAUACUUUUCUAUUAUAAUUUACCAGUAAUUUUCCCGCUGCUUCUGGAAAGUCUCCAACUACAGAAUUUUUUCAGGACUUAUUAGAGAAACAUUGAAAUAUCUACGCAGAUAUCACUGUAGGGUUAUAUUCAAGUUUUUAUAGGCAGAGGAGGUAAUUUUGUUCAAUGCUAACAUUCUAACACCUAUCACUAAGUAGUUCCACAAUAAAUAUUUGUUUGUUUAUUGUAUAUAUUAAAUAGAAGACAUAAAAUAAUUGCCAUAAUACAUAAUUUUUACACAGAGAAUGUGAAGUUUCUGUGUAAAAACUGUGGAAGACUGAAAACAUAGUCCUACAUGUACACUGAUAAAAUGGUAUUUCUCACAUAAAAAGUACAAAAUAAAUAUCUUCAUCACUUUCAACUAUGAUAUAGAAGCUCUAUUUUUAAAAAGAAAGUACACUCUUGGAGCUCCCGUCAUGGCUCAGUGGUUAACGAAUCUGACUAGGAACCAUGAGGUUGCGGGUUCGAUCCCUGGCCUUACUCAGUGGGUUAAGGAUCCGGCUUUGCCAUGAGCUGUGGUAUAGACGUGGCUUGGAUCCCGCGUUGCUGUGACUCUGGUGUAGGCCGGUGGCUAUAGCUACAAUUAGACCCCUAGCCUGGGAACCUCCAUAUGCCACAGGAGCGACCCAAAAAAUGCCAAAAAAAAAAAAAAAAAAAAGAAGAAUGGUGCAGAUUUGAGCAUUCUAGAAUGCUUUUAGAGAAAAAGAAUCAUCUGUUGGUUGCUUCCAAUGCAUAUACACUGAGUACAGCUGCACUGCUUAACUACAUAAGGAGCUGAGGAAAGUCAUGGUAGGAAGCACAGAAGAAAUGAAGGUAACUAUGUUCUUAGCCUUCAUUUGCACCAACUCUAAUUGGCACACUCAACUUUCUGAAGUUUGACAUUCAACUUAAACCAUAAUUUUGUAUUUUGAAAUGUUCCAUGUGCCAUUUGUUGCUAUGUUUAAAUCUUAAUUAGAGGACUUUAAAAAAAACUAAAAUUAAUAUACAGUAUAGUUUUCAUUUAUUUUUAAACACACACAGUGAAUUCUAGCUGCCAAAUUAUAAUCAAGGAGAAGUCACAUUAGGCCAGAGAAAAGCUCUUCAGCCAACACAUUUUCUGAAAACUAUCGAGACUCUUUCUAACACAUAGAAACUAGAAUAUCAGUGAUUCACCCUUGCUUGUUAUUAAUCUCAGAAAUAUAUAUUAUAGAUGAUCAUUUCUUGUGCAUUGCUCCAUGUAGGAAAGUUGGCAAUUUAUGCUUUAAAAUGUUGGUCCCUUUUGUAGGCAGAUAUAUUGACCCUCUAUCUUGGAAAACCCCUUGCCAAACGUGUUUUCAUUAGAAUUCCUUAAAUUAUGGAACAAAAACCUCAAAGGGGAUUGUUUAUUAGAGGUUUCUAGGCACCCUAUAUACUUGUGACUUGCAAAUGAAUUUUAAAUGAAUGCUAGGGGUGGUGCCAAAAUCCAAAAGAAAAGCCCAUGUGGCAAAAAGAGGUAUCAAAGCCUAAAGGAUUUAUGUUUAAAUUAUUGAAAUUCAAUUGUGGAUGCAUGGUUUAUUUAUGCUGAUUUGCUUUCUGGCUGUAUUGUAUGCUCUAAGUCUACUGGGUUUAGGACAGAAGACAAUGACUUCUUUCCUGUAUAUUUUAAUAUUUUUUCUCCAUCACUUGUCCAUGUUGAUAAGACUAGUGCCUCAAAAAUGAAAGAUUUUCAUGUUUUGUAAGGGUAAGUCAACUUUCCUCUCAUCUAUCUUUAAUUGGCUCAGAGAUCUGGAUUUUCACGGUAGCAUGAGAAAAAAAAAAUUCAUUAGUAGAAGAAGAAAUAUGAAAACCUUCUUUCACACCAGUAAGGGAAAUGAAACAAAAUCUGAUAAAAAUGAAAACACUAUAUACCUAUCUAAUAUAUGAUAGACCCCUUAUUUAAACAUAUCAUGCAUACAUCAUGAACACUGUAGUACAGCAAGCUAUCUAGAAGAGGAAUUGUUUUGCGAGAAGUCUAUUAUUAUAAGCACAAGAUAUAGCCAGAUAUACCCGUUUCUUACUACUAUUUCAAACGAGAGAAGUGCCCUGGGGAAACCAAGGCAUCCAGCUGAGGAUAUAUAACUCCCUUGAUUCUUUCUACAUGAUUCUGGCCUCUUUUCAGUAUUUUCAAACGCUGCCCAACAGCUCUGCCCAGAAGAGUACAAAUAAAGUGAAUAUGAAAAUGCCACUUCAAACUCUGGAUUAGAAAAGAAUGGACGCUUGCUGCCUGUAAUGAUGGUGUCUGAGAAUGCUAGAGAAGCCCCUUCUGCCCCGCUUCUCCAAAUGAUGGGUAUGAGUCUGGGUUAAUUUACUGGCUUUCCGAAAAUUAGGCAAGUCAUUGAAUAGCAGUUCAUCAGUUUCACUCUGUUUGAUGUACAAAAAUUACACUAACAUAAUAUACAAGCAGGAACUUUUUCUGGUCUUAGUGUCAUUGUUUCCCCCCUCCCUCAGGCAGCAUAGAGUCGUCAGAAAGCCUAAGUUAUAAGUUAUAAGAAGAUCCCACUGCUGAGGUGGAGAAUUAAUACUUUUGCAGUGUGAAGUCGUUCUACUGGAAUUGACUCUGUUAAAAAACUGGAGGACACUAAGUAUGUAAAAUAUACUCAGCAUUUUUUCCCAUGAUUCCAUACAAGUGCCCUAAUAUUUUUAAAAGAACUUGCUUCUACGUGGGAAUUAAAAUACAUGCAUUUUUUAUUGAGCAUUCUUUCCAUAUUUUAUUAGAAAAAAGGAAGACCCAGACAAAAGCAGCUAAUUAAAAAAUACUAAGUGUUUCUGUAGUGUAGUGUAUUAACAGUAUUUAAGAAUUAUGUCAUAACACUAAGCUGUAAUUAUAACAUGGCAGAAUAAUGAUAUAAUUCAACAAGCUCAAAGCAAUUCUACUACAUCCAGAUACAGUGAAUACCCAGCAGGGAAUGGCAUUUUACAGCAACUUGCGCUCCUAGUCUAUGCAGGUCAUAUAAUACUUAUCUUUUAUUUCACUGAGUGUGAUCAUGAUGCAAAAUAAUGUGCUCUGUUGUGUAGAAAGGGUUAAGUUAUGGCCUCUGUGAGCCAUUAGGUGGAGAUUUAUUGGGGGAGUUAGUAAGUCUACAGUUCAAUAUGUGGUGAUUGAACAAGGACCAUAGGUGCAGAGACAGAGGGAGGAAGAGAGCUGAGGCAAAUGACAUCCCUAGGGCUUUACAACAUAUGGCCCAUCAGUCAAGGGUCAAGCCCCCUCACAAAUUGCAUGCACUUUACAUAGCCAUCUGCAUCAAUAAAUUACUACUCUCUUGUAGCCAGACACUAAUGCAUGAGCAAGAGGGAUCGGCCACACUUACAAAUAAACUGUUUUAUUUAUUCUUGUUCAUUUUGGCCCAAUACUGUGACUCAUCAUUUCCACACAGGACCUUCCUCCCAUAGUCAAGCUAAUUCACUAACAAACACCUUUAUAUAUAUUUUCCAGACUGAUGGUAUAUAUGCUACAGAGUAACUAUGGUACAGGUGAAGCAGGUCAUUCAUUACCUGUGAAGAUGAAUCUUUAACACAUUAAUAUAUAUUAUUUCUUUCUGCUGAGUUUCCCUCUAUGCCCAAUGACUAGCUUGGUAGAAAAAAAUUCUUGGAAUAUUGCAUUUUGCAUUUUUAAGUUGUCCAUUUGCAAAGUGGAGAAUGCUGGCACUAAAGCAAUCAGUUAUUUCACUGCCAUGUAUAUGAAUAGAAAACCAUUGAAACGGGUGGGGCACUUAAAAAGUCAACCUCUUUUCAUAAAAUGAGAGUAUUUAGCAGGAAAAAUGGAAAAGAAAGAAAAGUGAAGAGAAAGAAGUACCAUUUCAUUUAAUUCUUACAAAAAUCCUCUGAUGUCAAUCAUUAGUAUAAUUAUUUUACAGAUUUAAAAAAACUAAGGACCAGACAAGAUUAAGGGAUAUGCCCUAGAUCACACAGUGAGAAGAGGUAGAACAGAGAUUUAGAGACAGCUCUGCCUGGUCCAAAAUUGACUGCCAUCCAAACUUCCAUGAAAAGAGAAAGAAAGGUGGAGGGAUCUGUGAAAUCCAUGGUAGGACUACAAAGUCAUGGGAUCCUAGGGUGGAAAGGCCCUUGUGUAUGAUCUUGCUUAACCACCUUUCUGUUACUUUAAAAUAAGAAGUCCUCACAGGAGACAGAAACAGGGAGAAGUAGUUCACUUCAAGAAGAAAAAGUAGUAUAGUUAAGAAAAGAUAUGCAUUGUUGGUGGGAAUGCAAAUUGGUGCAGCCAUUAUAGAAAACAGUAUGGAUGUUCCUUAAAAAUUUAAAAAUAAGACUUCCAUAUAAUUGAGAAAUUUCACUACUGGGUAUUUAUUUGAAGAAAAUGAAAACACUAUCUCAAAAAGAUAUAUGCACUAUGUUCAUAGCAGCAUUAUUUAUAAUAGCCAAGGCAUAGAAACAACCUAAGUGUCCAUCAAGAGAUGAAUGGAGAAA
rnacentral:lncRNA from 1 species